UACGUAGGUCCCGGGCGUUGUCCGGAUUUAUUGGGCGUAAAGCGAGCGCAGGCGGCUUGAUAAGUCAGAAGUAAAAGGCUGUGGCUCAACCAUAGUACGCUUUUGAAACUGUCAAACUUGAGUGCAGAAGGGGGGAGUGGAAUUCCAUGUGUAGCGGUGAUAUGCGUAGAUAUAUGGAGGAACACCGGUGGCGAAAGCGGCUCUCUGGUCUGUAACUGACGCUGAGGCUCGAAAGCGUGGGGAGCGAACAGG
rnacentral:rRNA from 1 species